UGAACGCUGGCGGCGUGCCUAAUACAUGCAAGUCGAGCGAACAGAUGCGGAGCUUGCUCCUCUGACGUUAGCGGCGGACGGGUGAGUAACACGUGGAUAACCUACCUAUAAGACUGGGAUAACUUCGGGAAACCGGAGCUAAUACCGGAUAAUAUAUUGAACCGCAUGGUUCAAUAGUGAAAGACGGUUUUGCUGUCACUUAUAGAUGGAUCCGCGCCGCAUUAGCUAGUUGGUAAGGUAACGGCUUACCAAGGCAACGAUGCGUAGCCGACCUGAGAGGGUGAUCGGCCACACUGGAACUGAGACACGGUCCAGACUCCUACGGGAGGCAGCAGUAGGGAAUCUUCCGCAAUGGGCGAAAGCCUGACGGAGCAACGCCGCGUGAGUGAUGAAGGUCUUCGGAUCGUAAAACUCUGUUAUUAGGGAAGAACAAAUGUGCAAGUAACUAUGCACGUCUUGACGGUACCUAAUCAGAAAGCCACGGCUAACUACGUG
rnacentral:rRNA from 1 species